UGUUAAUGCAAUGCCCUGCAUUGCCUUCUUGAUCUUAUGCUUCAGAUUCUUAACAUGUAUGCAUUUUAAUUACACAAUGCAACUUCAAAUUGUUUUUUGUCUUCCUUCUUUUCGUCGGUAUGCUGAGUUUAGUUGAAGCUUCUAAUAUUUUUCUUUUAAUUUCAUUUUUGGCAGGAUACACAGAUUAUCAUUAAUUCUAUACCUCCUUGGAUAUGCAUCCGAAUCGCAAAAUUGUAAAUGAUUACAUCAACAGUUUUUUGAGAUGUGUGGUUGAAGAUUUCAUGGAGGUAGUAUGCACAUGGAGGCCCAGUGCGCCGUUGGAAGUGUGUUACUAUGAACAAAAUGAAUCUAAUAUUAGAAUCUUUGUGCAUUUGGUGGAUAUUGACAAUUAUGUUACUUGAUUUAGUAUAUGUCUAGACUAAUAUUCUUAACUGAUAUCUAAACUAAUAUUUAUAGAACAAUGUCAUCGUAUGAUUUGUUCUAUUAUUGAAAUGAAUGACAUAACAACUAAAGCAGAUUGCAUGUCUAAGUUAUAUUUUACU